UUUGACCUCAAAUCAGGUAGGACUACCCGCUGAACUUAAGCAUAUCAAUAAGCGGAGGAAAAGAAACUAACAAGGAUUCCCCUAGUAACUGCGAGUGAAGCGGGAAAAGCUCAAAUUUAAAAUCUGGCGGUCCCUGUGGCCGUCCGAGUUGUAAUUUAGAGAA
rnacentral:rRNA from 1 species